rnacentral:lncRNA from 1 species
GCCUUGUCCGGAGGGUUUCCAGCAUACAGAGAAUGAAAUUUUAGCAGCAGUAAAUUACCCAGCAUCAGAAUGUCUGGUUGUAAUGAACAAAAGUUAAUGCAUGAUAAUUCCAGAGCUUCACAGGCUGAUCCACGCGUCCCUGGGGCUGAGCAAAAGUCAACACUACAAUGUCUCUCAAAGACCGGGCAAGUGAUUCAUUGAACCCAUAAACGUACUUUCUAUGUGCCACGUGUGAAACUGUGAACGAGAAGGAUCAAC